rnacentral:lncRNA from 1 species
CUCAGUUCCAAAUAUGUUUUCUAAGCACUGAUAAAACAGUAUAAUGUAUUCGAGUUGUUGAGACAGACAGCCAAAGUCACAGUAACUAAUUGUAAGAUUUAAAAUGAAGGCAUGUUGCUGAUUUAAAAUCAAGAGUUGCAGAAGCUAGCACUAUGCCCAGAAGACUGGAAGAGAGAGAAAGAGUGAGAGACAGAAAUUGGAAGAAGAUAUGUCCCAAUGAUGAAUGGCAAUUGCAAUUUGUUGUGGCAGAGCAAAACCUAAAAAGCUUUCAAAGCUGUUGUGAAA